GUUGUAUAGUCAAGUAAUUAAGUGCAUGUGGUGGAUGCCUUGGCAGUCAGAGGCGAUGAAAGACGUGAUAGCCUGCGAAAAGCUCCGGGGAGGCGGCAAAUAUCCUUUGAUCCGGAGAUGUCUGAAUGGGGGAACCCACCUACUUUAAGGUAGGUAUUGCAACAUGAAUACAUAGUGUUGCAAGGCGAACGAGGGGAAGUGAAACAUCUCAGUACCCUUAGGAAAAGAAAUCAAUUGAGAUUCCCUCAGUAGCGGCGAGCGAACGGGGAUCAGCCCAUUAAGUUAUGUGUGUUUUAGUGGAACGCUCUGGGAAGUGCGAACGUAGAGGGUGAUAUUCCCGUACACGAAAGGGCACACAUAAUGAUGACGAGUAGGGCGAGGCACGUGAAACCUUGUCUGAAUAUGGGGGGACCAUCCUCCAAGGCUAAAUACUCCUGACUGACCGAUAGUGAACCAGUACCGUGAGGGAAAGGCGAAAAGAACCCCUGUGAGGGGAGUGAAAUAGAUCCUGAAACCGCAUGCAUACAAGCAGUGGGAGCACCUUCGUGGUGUGACUGCGUACCUUUUGUAUAAUGGGUCAGCGACUUAUAUUCAGUAGCGAGGUUAACCGUAUAGGGGAGCCGUAGAGAAAUCGAGUCUUAAUAGGGCGUUUAGUUGCUGGGUAUAGACCCGAAACCAGGCGAUCUAUCCAUGAGCAGGUUGAAGGUUGGGUAACACUAACUGGAGGACCGAACCCACUGUCGUUGAAAAGCCAGGGGAUGACUUGUGGAUAGGGGUGAAAGGCUAAUCAAGCCUGGUGAUAGCUGGUUCUCCCCGAAAGCUAUUUAGGUAGCGCCUCGGACGAAUACCAUAGGGGGUAGAGCACUGUUUCGGCUAGGGGGUCAUCCCGACUUACCAAACCGAUGCAAACUCCGAAUACCUAUGAGUACUAUCCGGGAGACAGACUGCGGGUGCUAACGUCCGUAGUCAAGAGGAAAACAAUCCAGACCGCCAGCUAAGGCCCCAAAAUCAUAGUUAAGUGGGAAACGAUGUGGGAAGGCAUAGACAGCUAGGAGGUUGGCUUAGAAGCAGCCACCCUUUAAAGAAAGCGUAAUAGCUCACUAGUCGAGUCGGCCUGCGCGGAAGAUGUAACGGGGCUAAAACUAUGUGCCGAAGCUGCGGAUGUAUACUUUGUAUACGUGGUAGGGGAGCGUUCUGUAAGCCGAUGAAGGUGUGUUGAGAAGCAUGCUGGAGGUAUCAGAAGUGCGAAUGCUGACGUGAGUAACGACAAAACUGGUGAAAAACCCGUUCGCCGAAAGACCAAGGGUUCCAGUCCAACGUUAAUCGGGGCUGGGUGAGUCGACCCCUAAGGCGAGGCCGAAAGGCGUAGUCGAUGGGAAAAUGGUUAAUAUUCCAUUACUUCUGUGUAAUGCGAUGAGAGGACGGAGAAGGCUAAAUCAGCCUGGCGUUGGUUGUCCAGGUGAAAGGAUGUAGGCAUGUAUCUUAGGCAAAUCCGGGGUACUCUAUGCUGAGAUCUGAUAGCAAGCUGUACUUGUACAGCGAAGUGGUUGAUGCCAUGCUUCCAGGAAAAGUCUCUAAGCUUCAGUUACACAGGAAUCGUACCCGAAACCGACACAGGUGGUCAGGUCGAGUAGACCAAGGCGCUUGAGAGAACUCUGCUGAAGGAACUAGGCAAAAUGGUACCGUAACUUCGGGAGAAGGUACGCUGUUGUUGGUGAUGGAACUCGCUUCCUGAGCUGACGACAGCCGCAGAAACCAGGCCGCUGCAACUGUUUAUUAAAAACAUAGCACUCUGCAAACACGAAAGUGGACGUAUAGGGUGUGAUGCCUGCCCGGUGCUGGAAGGUUAAUUGAUGGGGUUAGCGUAAGCGAAGCUCUUGAUCGAAGCCCCAGUAAACGGCGGCCGUAACUAUAACGGUCCUAAGGUAGCGAAAUUCCUUGUCGGGUAAGUUCCGACCUGCACGAAUGGCAUAAUGAUGGCGGCGCUGUCUCCAGCAGAGGCUCAGUGAAAUCGAAAUCGCUGUGAAGAUGCAGUGUACCCGCGGCUAGACGGAAAGACCCCGUGAACCUUUACUGCAGCUUGACACUGAACUUUGACCUUACUUGUGUAGGAUAGGUGGGAGGCUUUGAAGCUGGAACGCAAGUUCCAGUGGAGCCGUCCUUGAAAUACCACCCUGGUAAUGUUGAGGUUCUAACUCUGUCCCGUGAUCCGGGACGAGGACCGUGUCUGGUGGGUAGUUUGACUGGGGCGGUCUCCUCCUAAAGAGUAACGGAGGAGUACGAAGGUGCGCUCAGCGUGGUCGGAAAUCACGCGUAGAGUAUAAAGGCAAAAGCGCGCUUAACUGCGAGACCCACAAGUCGAGCAGGUACGAAAGUAGGUCUUAGUGAUCCGGUGGUUCUGUAUGGAAGGGCCAUCGCUCAACGGAUAAAAGGUACUCUGGGGAUAACAGGCUGAUACCGCCCAAGAGUUCAUAUCGACGGCGGUGUUUGGCACCUCGAUGUCGGCUCAUCUCAUCCUGGGGCUGAAGCAGGUCCCAAGGGUAUGGCUGUUCGCCAUUUAAAGAGGUACGCGAGCUGGGUUUAGAACGUCGUGAGACAGUUCGGUCCCUAUCUACCGUGGGCGCUGGAAAUUUGAGAGGAUCUGCUCCUAGUACGAGAGGACCAGAGUGGACGAACCUCUGGUGUACCGGUUGUGACGCCAGUCGCAUCGCCGGGUAGCUAUGUUCGGAAGGGAUAACCGCUGAAAGCAUCUAAGCGGGAAGCCUACCUCAAGAUAAGAUUUCCCUAGGACUUUAUGUCCUCUAAAGAGCCGUUCGAGACUAGGACGUUGAUAGGUUGGAUGUGGAAGCAUAGUGAUAUGUGAAGCUGACCAAUACUAAUUGCUCGUGAGGCUUGACUAUACAACACCCAAGCAGUUG
rnacentral:rRNA from 1 species